CAUUGAUCACCUCGUACACGCUUCCUAUGCUGGAAUACUUGGUGGCCGAUGAUAUUUCCGACGUCACCCUGAGGAUCGACGACGUGGACGGUACUGUCCAUGAAUCCAACGGUGAUACCGUGAGAGACUGUGAGCUUGCGGUGUAGACGGUUCGUUAAUAUUAGCAUCUGGUAGGAUGUCUUUAAAGUAACACCUUGGCCUUUUGUGCACGAAAUCUCCUUUUGACUGCGUUUGAUGGAGGAAACGGAUGGUGUACAGCAAUACUUGCGUUUCGUUAUUUUCGAUCGGAGAGAAGGUUUUAAGCGGUGAGUUUGCGAGCUUGGAAACUGUAAUUUUCCAGAAAUUGAAUGAACGAGGAAACGAACCGAUAAUUGCACGCGUUUUAUGCAGAUUAUCGGUAUCCAAUACCAUAAUCACGUUUCUGUUUCUUGGUUGUAUAAAAUCCUCUUGAUAAGAACAAAACGAAGAUAAACGUCCGAGGAAAAAGAAAACAAGGUACGUGCAAUCGAUGAAAGGAAAAGCUUUGGAGAAUGGAAAUCAAUCAUCAGAGAUGGUUUUAUAAUUAUUCCUACACCGAGGGUGAUUUUUCCUCACCCUACGCGAAGAAACACUGGAGGUACUUGGAGAGACUGAAAUAGGUUUAUAUGUGAACAAAGAACACUUGGGAGCCAGAAGGGGAUUGGGAGAGCAUGGGCAAUGUCUUUAGACGUACGUGACUCCAAGAUUCUCAGAAAAUAGUGAUCUCCGCGAAAGUAUCGAGCGUGGAGUGUUGGCAACCUUGUAGCCAUUUCCAGGAGGGUGCGAGCGUAAACGUCGAGUGGGUGGGUCGUAAAGUUGAGAAAAUAGUUGCUCUUGACCGUGGGUGCUUUCGAUCAAACCCCCAUGACUGCCAAUAGAGGGUUGUGCACCACCGCCACUGUACAUUCGAGUGCCACGACCCCCGGUAUUAUUCCACGGACUAUUUACGAUCGGGAUGCAACGAAAUCUCGAGGCUGUUAUUUGGCCCCCCGCGUGAUAACAUUAAUGAUGCAGGUAAUUCGCCUCGUUUAAGCAAUUGAACGGAACCGUAAGUAGAAUAUUAAUCAAUACCUUUAAUAGCAGGAAUUUAUGAAAUUUACGCGGUGAAUUAUGAAAU